rnacentral:lncRNA from 1 species
UGUGAUGUGAGGAGUAGGAAGCGUCAGGUUUGAACUAGAAAGUGGCAAGUGUGUAAAAGAAAGUGGGACGUGAGAAGCAGUAGAAUGUUGACUCCAACCCCUGGGAGCUACAGGGUCACCUAAUAAACACGGAAGCUGUGACUCCUCUCCAACACAUCUGGAUUUUCCUAAUGAUUCCUAAGAAGACUGGAGGCCCGAACAGACAUCUCAUGGCUAGAUUCCAUGGAGUCUGAACUUUCCAGCGGAAAUCUCUACCACUCCUGUUCAAGUCACACAUCCAGAUGACGGUUGGCUCAGCUGAAGCAGGUGUUCAGGCCUGAUUCCAACUUUCGGUUCACCACAAUCUUCAAUUUACCAGAACCUCCUUUUCACCAGCUGAGGCCUCAGCCUGUCACCAUGCAGUUUAUCAGCAGUCACUCCAUCUCGAUUCUGGGUGACGUGAGAUCAAUGGCCUAAAACUGCUCUCAGAUCUACAGAGAAAUUUAUAACACCAGGCUCUGCCAUGCCCUGGCUGGGCCGGGUCCCAGGCCUCUGAGGGUGAGGCUGCCAUGCAGACUUCAUUUCCAUUUCAAAAGUGGAUUGUGACCCACUUGGAGCAGGCGAGUUCAAGCCGUCUGAUGCAAAGAAUGGCCUGAGUCAGAAGUCUUCCGCACUUACAGAACAAUGACUUUGAGGGAAGGAAAAAAAAAAGACUGGUCAACGAUUAAAAUUCUUUCUGCCUUGAAAAGGCUCUAAUU